UGAGGAAUAUUGGUCAAUGGGCGCAAGCCUGAACCAGCCAUCCCGCGUGCAGGAAGACGGCCCUAUGGGUUGUAAACUGCUUUUCCAGGGGGAGAAUUUUUCUGUCGUGACAGGAAUUGACGGUACCCUGGGAAUAAGCAUCGGCUAACUCCGUGCCAGCAGCCGCGGUAAUACGGAGGAUGCGAGCGUUAUCCGGAUUUAUUGGGUUUAAAGGGUGCGUAGGCGGAUAGAUAAGUCAGUGGUGAAAACCUGCAGCUUAACUGUGGGAUUGGCGGUGAUACUGGCAGUCUUGAGGGUGGUUAAGGUAGGCGGAAUGUGUUAUGUAGCGGUGGAAUGGCUAGAUAUUACACAGAACAACGAUUGCGGAGGGAGCUUACUGGGCCAUUACUGACGCUGAUGCACGGAAGCGGGGGG
rnacentral:rRNA from 1 species